rnacentral:rRNA from 1 species
UACGUAGGGGGCGAGCGUUGCCCGGAUUUAUUGGGCGUAAAGAGCGUGUAGGCGGCCAGGUAGGUCUGCUGUGAAAACUCGAGGCUCAACCUCGAGACGUCGGCGGAAACCAUCUGGCUAGAGUACGGAAGAGGCGAGUGGAAUUCCUGGUGUAGCGGUGAAAUGCGCAGAUAUCAGGAGGAACACCAAUUGCGAAGGCAGCUCGCUGGGACGUUACUGACGCUGAGACGCGAAAGCGUGGGGAGCAAACAGG